GCUUCUAUGGUCUAGUGGCUAUGACAUGAGUCUCAUAUCUUAUCAGGAUGUGACAUUGAGGUUAACCUCGGUGAGAAAUCUCAGGGUCCUGGGUUCGACCCCCAGUGGAAGCA